rnacentral:lncRNA from 1 species
GGGUCAUUCUAAAAAUUGCUGCUGCUGGGACUUUGUCAGGUGGCUGCUGGUGGCUCCCCACCGCAUUUUCCUUCUCCCUCCCUCCCUCUCUCUCUCUCUCCACAGAUUGCUUCCCAAGAGGAGCCUGCUGCUGAAAACUCACCAUCACACGUCUGGACGCCACUUCGCACAGGAGGGUAAGGAGCUGGGGCCACGCUCUCCAAUUCCUGUCUUCUAGAUUCGAAGGUGCGUAUGGGUGUGUGGGUGCGAGAGGGUGGCCGUGACCGCGUGCUCCCGGCUCCGGAGCAAUUCACUGACUGCCGUCUACAGCGGGCGGUACCGUUCUGUGCCUGUGCCCGAUGGGAAAUUGGGAGCCAGAAAACAUUUUCUUGAAAUGUAAGGAGUGCCAUAGAUUAGGAGAAUGCCUAGGGAUAGAAAUGCAUGAGAGGGAUGCCUUUAAAUAGUAAAACUGCUAGUCGUUUCUAUUAAUAAUUUUAAGUCUCUAAAGCCUAAUGUAUUUUUUUUUUCUUCCUCUCUAUUUUAUAAAGAAAGGAGGGACAAAGUAACAUUCUUAGGUUUGGUUCACAAGGUUUAGAAUUCCCUCUUCAUUUUGAUCCGGAACCAUGUAAACAUUUAGUACCUGAUCCAUUUAGAUGAAAUACAGUCCGUUUCAACUCAGUUGGUAGCACAAAAGUCAGAUAAACUCUUUGAAUUCCCAGAAAUAUUCCUACUGGCAAGAUAGAAACUCCCCCUAUGAAAAGAAAGUAUUGUUGACUGAACCAUAAGACAAAUUUUUGUUCCCGAUGUACACAUAUGGCUAUGCUGAUCAUACGUUUUAGGUUAGAAAUGAAACGGUAAAGUGGAAACCCCCCCCCUCAAGUCCAACUUAACUUAAAAUGGCAAGCAGCAGAGGCUGGAGUGUUUCUAUUCCAGGAGUCAGUCCUGAUGAGCUCGGACAGAUGCAGCCACAGGAAUGUGACAGGACAGGGAGAAGGCGCAGCUGAUUCGCCCCUUUGGCAAGGACACAUUCUGGGAUCCCAGCUCAUUCUGGCAUGAGAGUGACAGUGACACUUUAGCACACAUGGCUUUUCAGCUUGCCCCAUGUGGAGUCUCUCCCAGGAGGCAAGGGUGGAGGGCAGCAGAAAAGAGAAUGUUCUUAAAUAUAAAGUGACAAUUCUUUUCUAUAGUCAGCUCUAGAAGAUUUUCAUUUGAGAGCUGUAUCAGGCCGGGACACAGUGUAAUUCUUUCACAGUGUCUUGCCCACUCCUUGAAGACAGUAGAAUUUUGUGACUAUUUCUUGUCUGACCAUUCUCAGCCCAAUGGUUCUGGGUCUAUUUUGCGUUACGGGCCCUUUUCAGAAGAUUUCAUGAAAUCUCUAAGCCCACUCUACAGAAAACCACAAACACACAGGCGUAACAUGUUUCAUAAUAUUCCAGAAAUUUUCAUGGAAUUCACGGACUCACUUGAAACCUUAGCCAGAGCAAGGUUUCCAGAUAAAAUACAGGAUACCCAAACUACAUUUGAAUUUCAGAUAAACCACCCAGUUUUUUGUAUAAGUAUGUCCCAAAUAUUUCAGGGGAUAUACUUAUUCUAAAAUAUGAUUCAAGGUUUAUCUGAAAUUCAAAUUUAACUGGACAUCUCGUAUUUUUAUUUGCUAAAUCUGUAAAUCUCCUGUCCCAGUUGGUUUAUCUGUAUCUGAUAAAAUUGAUUGUAGGGUUCUGAAAAACCAUAUUGAGGGGAGAAAAGAUAUGGGACCAGACUUUGACAAUUCUGGCAGCCAAAGCCAGCUGUUUCACCUUAACUCUCUGUAAACUUUUAGAACUGAGAGGUACACAUGUCCUCAUUUGAUGGAUGAUUGAAGUGAAUUCCUACUCGGUUGAGGUUUUGCCAUGCUUCCAUUAGAUGGUUAGAGCAAAAAGAUCACCAAAACUCAAUUUCCAGUUCUGUGACAACCAAAGAGACAUUAAUCUGAAUAAUUACAUUUCCAACCAGUCCCACAACCCGUAUACAUACAAAAGUCUAAGAAGAGAUUUCAACAAAACCAAAACCAAACAUUUUAGUGCUAGUUCCUUGCAUCCUGUGUGCGGUCUUAGUGAGUGGAAUUACAAUCAACUCUGCGUAUGGUUUCUGUAUCCUUUACACAUAAAAGCCAGGCGCAAUUCUCUAGCUAAGUUAAACCAUAAGGAAUUAAUACUUGUUUUUAAACAAAAAUUGAAAAUUUCAUAUUCAUCCCAACACAUAAUAAAAGGAAGUGCUUUAUUCUCUGAUCAACACAUUCCUUUAGGAUCUCCUUGAACCUAUUUCUGUUUUUGGCUUACCCAACCGAUUAGAGUUUUAUAUCUUUACUACCCGUAACAGGAUUAAGAAAUCCACAGGCUCUGUUCCUCCUCAAAUUUAUGUUACAUUCAAAAAGGCAUUUCCUUUAUUUUAGUGUUUGGAGUUUUUAUAACUCCAUUUCGUGUUCUCUGUAUCCAAAUUUUUAUCUUAGAACCUUGGUUCUGCCUCACUUAGUCUGUGUCUUCCCAUGCUGGAAAGAGCUAACUUUUUAACCUGCUACAGAGUUUAGCCUACCCUGGGUCUAAGAGAGGUGAUUAGAGGGGUCAGGACUCAAUCUGGGUUUGAAUCUGUGCUCCACUGCACACUACAUACUUGUGUGACCUUGAUACGUUUUUAAACUCUCUCUGAACCUUAAUUUCUUCAUUGGUAAAAUGAACAUAAUAUACCCUAUCUUUUAGGAUUUCAGCGGUGCUUAAAUUUAAAAAAAAAAGUCACAUCAAGUACUUAACUCAGGGCCCAGCACACAGUAAGGUCUCAAUUAAUAAAUGCUAGCUAUAUAAUUAUUUUGAACAGACAUGGAGGUAACAGUUUACAUUUAAUACAUAGUGUAGAUUCAUGCUUGGUGGUUUAUAGUUAGGAAUUAAUUAUGAAUGUACUUAAAUUUGGCAAAUACGAAAGAUGAUGAAAACUGUGGUGGCUCACAUGACUGUUGCCAUGUGUUCAUCAGAUGUUGAAUACAUGACACCAUCGUAAUAGAAAUGACACGAGAGCCAAGAUCUGCGGUGGACAAUGGGAGGAAAGUGUGGAAUUGCAUCCCUAGUACCCUUCUACCUAGUUUCUAAUGGGCAGCCCUUCCAGGGGACCCAAGAGGCUGCUCCGGGUAAUAUUGGACAGAGCAGAGACAGAAGGAGGGAGGCUAUGGUGUCCAUCACAGAAAAAGAGAAUUGUCUGGGGUUUCUGCACAGAAUGAAGGGAUAGUUUGGAAGUAUAGCGAGCUGUUCAUCCCAUUACACAACCUCUUCUGCUGUAACUAACUGGACCAGUUCCUCUUUCCAGUGAGUCCUACUACGGUAGGGGCUGUGUGAAAACUGCAAGUCCUAACUGUCUCAGGGAGCAUGUGUGGUUCUUCCUUUCUUUGAUCCUGGAGUGGUGGUGGGGAGGCCCACAGCUUCCUAGAGCCCCCCUGGGUAGGGAGGGAGAAUCAAGCCUGUUGUGCUUUAAGAACAACAGAGAAACAGUCUUGAAACUCUCCCAGCCUAGGACACCUCAGCAAGGCUGUGCUUCUCACCAUCUAGACCAUGACCCCAGUCAAAGCCUUCCUAACCUCCCUCUAUGGUAACUGUGGUCAUUGCCCUGCCAAGAAGCCUGGACAAUGUCUCAGCAGCUUGACCACAAGACACUCACUCAGUUAAAAAAAGAGAAAAAAGCUUUAAAAAAAAUAACAGUAAUUAAAACCCUCAUCCAACUGUGAGUUAAUAUAUAAUUGAAUCAAUGAAAGCAGAAUGCUUUCAAAAUUUAUUGCUUAAUUUCUAGGUUAUACUCUAGAUUACAUAUGAACAUAUGUAUGCAACUCAUUUGUAAAACAUCUGUUCCUCACAACCACGUUGUGGGGCUGUCACUGUGACCAUCAUCAGCCAUCACUUACAGUAUGACCCAGGGCACACAGUGAACAUUUGUAUAAUUGUAGAAGAAACAGUAAAGUGUUCCUGUACAAAUUGUUUCUGAAUAUAUGUUUGCAUAUGACCUGAGUGACUGAGCAUUUGCAUUUGCAGUGACUGAGUAAUAUAUUUUGUAAAUAUUCAGUUCUUUCUGAUCAUUCGUUGUACAAUCAGCUUGGAAGCCCAGCGCCAUGACGGAAUGAGUAAAUAGCAGUGGAUUAAAUUGUUCCACUUUACCUUCACACAUCUGCUCCUUAGGCUGCCCUUUUACAACUCCCUUCCUUUCAAGCUGUCCUUGCUCUUCAUUUAAAUGUGACUGUGAAAGAAUGAUGGUCGGUCACGUGGCACGGUGAGUGUAUAUGUGUGUGUGUGCACACAUACACCCACUGUAACAUCCCUGUGCCUGUACUCCCUAGCAAGGCCCCAGGGUGAGGGAUCUGUAGAGUUUGUUGGAGGCUUGUCUGUCUGCCUGAUGAGAACGGAGCCUCUUGGGUUUUGAUCUGCCAUAAUGAGAAAGCUAGUCUUCUCUGCAGUAGGGCCCUGAGUAGCUGCCCUUACCACUCUUACUGGCCUGUAAUCCUCCUCGAAUUGAGAAAAGCAGUGGCCAGAGCCCCAUGCAGGGCCAAUAGGAAUUAGAGGAGCAGGCCCAGUGGAAAAGCAUCUGUCAGGAUACAGGAGCCCGUGAACAUCUCUGCAGCCUAGAGGACAUCAUCAGAACUUUGCCCAGCUUCAGAGCAGUGACUGACCCUCAGAGUCCUGUGAGGAGUCUUUAGGGUCCUUAUUGGAGGAACAUAGCCCACACUAAGAACACCUGGCCAGGUGGAUACACAGCCUCACCUCCAAGGUGCGCACCUAGAAAAAGGAUGUAGUGGCAGCUCUAGUACAGAAUGAUUGAAUAUGUGAGCAUGUCUGGGAAAAUAUGGCCACUAGGAAGUUGAAGGCAAGCUCUGGUUUCAGUAGUCUUUUAUAAUCUCCUGACGACUUCUCUCCCUCUAACUCGCCUAGAGAGAGCUUAAGAAGCCAGUUACCUGGAUUUUGAGGGCUCUAAAAGACCUCUCUUAUUUUAAAAAUGUACAUAUUAAAAUGGUACCUAGAAUAUUAAUUAAGUGAUGCCUGGGUGGCUCAGCCAGUCAGGCGUGCGACUUCGGCUCAGGUCAUGAUCUCGAGGUUCGUGAGUUUGAGCCCUGUGUCAGACUCUGUGCUGAUGGCUCAGAGCCUGGAACCUACUUCGGAUUUCGUGUCUCCCUCUCUCUCUGCCCGUCCCCUGCUUGCGCUCUCUCUCUCUCUUUCAAAAAUAAAUAAACAUUUAAAAAAUGUCAACAAAGAGCAUGAUUUAAAAAUAAAUAAAAUAAAAUAAAAUAAAAUAAAAUAAAAUAAAAUAAAAUAAAAUAAAAUAAAAUUUUAAUUAAUAGGGGCACCUGGCUGCCUCAGUCGGUAGAGCACGCAACUCUUGAUCUUGGGGUUGUGGCUUUGAGCCCAUGUUGGGUAUAGAGAUUACUUAAAAAUAAAAUGUUUUUAAAAUAUUAAUUAUACUAAAUUAAUUUAACUGAUUAAUAUUAUUCAAAAUAUCAUUUAAAUAAUAAAAUUAUAUAUACAUAAUAAACAGCUGACCCUUGAGCAACAUGGGGGCUAGGGGAGCCAAACCCCUGCACACUCAAAAAUCUGUGUAUAGCUUUUGACUCCCCCAAAACUUAACUACUGAUCACAAGGAACAUAAGACAUCACGUUUUGCUGCCAUAAAAAAUUUCCUGGAGAGGCAGACUGUUUAUGCAGAGGUGAUUAGGGUCACGCAGCGUGUUAAGAGAAUAUUUGCAACUCUUGAGCUCACUGAAGUAGCAACAGGAGGGUGCUGCAAAAUUAUUACAAUUAAUUUUAUGCAGUUAUGACUUAAUUCUGCAUCUUUAUGUUUGUUUACAUUUCUCUCAACUACAAAUGGUGCCACACAUGGUCUGUGUUUGUAUGUGUACGUUUUCAUAAAUUUUAAAUUGUUUAUAAUAGGUUUGUGUGUAUCUUAUGGUAGCAGAUGAUAAAAUAGACUAGUAUCUACAUACAUUUUAUGCAUUCAUGACGUACCAGACUUUUUAAUUUUUUCACUAUUUCUAGAUUAUAUGGUUUGUCUGCAAGUGUUUUCAAUUAUUGCAAAUCUCCAAAAAAACCUCCAAUGUAUUUAUUGAAAAAACCUGUGUGGAAGUUCAGUCCAAGAGUCAACUGUACAUAUACAUGUACAUAUAUGAAAGAUAGAUAUGUAUAUAUCUACAUCUAUAUCUAUAUCUAUAUCUAUAUCUAUAUCUAUAUCUAAAGGAAAUUAAAAGUGGCAACAGGAGAUAAGAGACGGAGGCCUGGAAGAACUUUUACUGAUUUCACUAGGGCCUCAGGUCAUCUUCUUCUCCCUUCCUGGAGAUUUCUUAAUCCUUCUUGAUCACAUACUAAUUUAUUGAGUUCAGGCCCUUCCCAGAAUCCAACAGCCUUUAUGUUUUGGCCUAAUAUGCCUGCCCACCUAUCCCUCAUGACAGCCAUCUGAGUCUGCAUGUACCAUGCUGAGUCAUGCCUCCCUGCUUCAGCAUGAGGCAUUUCCUCUACUACUAAGUGAUCUUCUCUGCGCCCACCCCCCCACCCACUCCUCUUAAAAACCCUUUGUCUUGUACCAGGACCAGCAAAACCUAUUAUCUGCAAACCCUCCCAUCCCAACACCACUUCACCAAAAUAAGCCUUGUAUUUGAAUCCUUAGGCCCAGUCUUACAGGUUCAAUCUGUUUCAUGUAAUUUUGUUUUGCUACAUAACCGAUAACCAAAUGUCCUAAGCCUUCUAAAUUUCUAGGGUUACCUUUAUCAUUCAUAUCAAAAUAAAAAUAAUCUGCUCCUCAUACUGCAUAAUUGCACAAAUUCCAUUUCUCUCCCUAAGAUUUUCAAAAAUUCUUAGAAAUGUUCAUAGUUUCUAGAAACACCCUCCUGCUUCCAGGUUGCUGUUUGCCAUUUCUCAUUCUGGGUCCCUGUGUAUGCUUGUCCCCUGCUCCUCAUGAUUGCUUUUCCAUAAUGUGGCAUCUUUCUCUGAUUCGCUUCACUUCAAGGCUUAAACAAGUUACUUUCCUAUUCCCAAAGACCCACAACACAAAGUUGUUGAUUUUUAUGAAAAUGAUUGAAAUUUUUUGAAUGCUCACUUUUUGCUAGAUACUCGGCUGAGUGCUGUAUAGGCAUUAAUUUCUCAUUACGUUUUCAUUUGCAACCUUGCAGGCAGGCACUAUUAUUAUCUUCACUUUAAAGACAAGUCAGUGGAGACUCUAAGAGGUUAGGUAAUCUAUGGUGAGUCUUACUUUGGAUUAGUAGCAGAGCUGUAUUUAUAUCACAUUUCAUUAUCAUUUAGUUUGAAAUAUUAUCUAAUUUCUCUUGUGACUUCUUCUUUGACACAUGGAUUAUUUAGAAGUAUACUGUUUAAUUUCCAAAUAAUGGUGGUUUUUCUAGAUUAUUGUUACUAAUUUCUAAAUUUAAUUCCAGUAUGAUCAGAGAAUGUACUCCGUAUGGCUUCAGUGCCUUUAAGUUUACUGAGACAUGUUUUGGGGUCCAGCAUAGGGUCUGAUCUGUCUUGGUAAGAGUACCAUGUGCACCUGAGGAGAAUUUGUAUUCUGCAGUUGUUGGGUGUAAUGUCAUAGAAAUAUCAGUUAAGUCAAGGUGAUUAAUAAUGUUGUUCAGGUAAUCUAUACCUUUACUUAUUUCUUUGCCUAGUAGUUCUCUUAGUGUCUGGGAGUUAUUAAUAUUUUCAAGUAUAAUUGAGGAAUUGCCCAUUUCUCCUUUUAAUUCUGUCACUUGUUUUGCUUCACGUAACUUUGAAAGUCUGUUAUUGGGGCGCCUGGGUGGCUCAGUCGGUUAAGCCUCCGACUUCGGCUCAGGUCAUGAUCUCACGGUCCCUGAGUUCGAGCCCCGCGUCGGGCUCUGUGCUGACAGCUCAGAGCCUGGAGCCCGUUUCAGAUUCUGUGUCUCCCUCUCUCUCUCUCUGACCCUCCCCCGUUCAUGCUCUGUCUCUCUCUGUCUCAAAAAUAAAUAAACGUUAAAAAAAAAUUUUUUUAAUAAAUAAAUAAAACGAAAGUCUGUUAUUUGCACAUAUAUGUUUAUAUUUGUUAUAUUCUCAUGAUGAUUUGACCUUCUUAUCAUUAUGAAAUUCCCUCUUUACCAAUGGUAAUUGUUUUUUUAUUGAAAUGUAUUUCACCUGAUAUUAACAUAUCCACUCCAGUCUUCUUAUGUCUACUAUUUCUAUAGUAAAUCUUUUUGUACCCAUUUAUUUUUUACCUAUCUGUGUCUUUAUAUUUAUAGUGAGUCUCUUGUAGACAGCAUAUAUUUGGGUCUUACUCUUGCUUUUCUUAUCCAUUCUGAGAAUCUGUGCCUGUUAACUAUAAUGUUCUACCCACUGACAUUUAAUGUAAUUAGUAAUAUAAUUGGAUUUAGUUUUACCGUUAAAUUACUUAGCGGGGGUUUUGUCCCCUCUAAUUUUUGUCUCUCUGCUCCAACUUCCCUGCCUUCUUUUGAAUUCCAUUUAAUCUAUUGCUCUUUCAGCUAUACUUGGCAUUCUUUUUUUAAUGUUUUUAUUUAUUUUUGAGAGAGAGAGAGAGUACAAACAGGGGAGGGGCAGAGAAAGGGGGGUACAGGGGAUCUGAAGUGGGCUUCAUGUUGACAGCAGGGAGCCCAAUGCAGGGCUCAAACUCACAAACUGUGAGAUCAUGAGCAAAAGUCGGACACUUAAUCAACUGAGCCACCCAGGCGCCCCGUACUCUGCAUUCUUUAAGUGGUUAUUCUAGGGCUUUGCUGUCCAAUACCAUGGUCAUCAGUCACAUGUGACUAUUAAACACUUUAAGUGUAGCUAGUCCAAAAUGAGCUGCACUGUAAGUAUAAAAUACACCUUGCAUUUUGAAGACUUGGGAUGAAUGAAGAAUGUAAAAUAUCACAUUAAUAAUUUUAUACCAAUUACAUAGUGAAAUGAUAAUAUUUUGCAUGUAUAUGGUUGAAUAAACCAUAUUAUUAAAAUUAAUUUCACUUGUUUCUUUUUAACAUUUUAAUGUCACUACUGGAAAUUCUUUAAUUGCAUGUGUGACUCAUGUUACAUUUCUAUUGGACAGCACUACUCUAGAGAUUACAAUAUGCAAAGUUAAAUUCUCACAGGCUACAGAAGUUAAUAUUUACCAUUUCACAUAAAACGUAGUAACCUUGCAACCAUAUAGAUUCACUUACCAUCACCCCACCCUUUAUGCUGUAAUUGUUGUAUGUGCUACAUCUAGAAAUAUUAGAAACCCCGCAAGACAAUUUAUCAAUUUUGCUUUGAAGAGUUGUAUGAAUUUUAAAGAAGAAUAGAGGGAAAAAAAGUCUUUUAUAUGCAUCCAGAUAUUUAUCAUUUCUGAUACUUUUCAUUCCUUCCUGAAGAUCUAAAUUUCCACUGAGUUCCCCUUAGAGGAUCUCUUUUUCCCAGAAUUCCCAGCUCACUUUGCAGUGGAUGUGAUUGCCACAAACUGUCCUCUGGUUCUUCAAUGCAGCGAUACUUUCUGUUGGAGGUGUAGCUGCCCCUUGAAGUGCCAGUUGCAAUCUGCUCUUAGGCAAAAAGCCACCAACAAAACAAAACAACCCACAAAAAAAACACCCCAAAACUUUUCAAGGGUAGGGGAACUCAUCCUAUGCUAUUUCUUUUUUCCAACUCUUGACUCCUCUACAAAAUCACCCUGCCUUUAUUUUUUUUAAGUUUAUUUAUUUUGAGUCUCUGAGAGAGCACAAGCAGAGGAGGGGCAGAGAGAGAGAGGGAGACAGAGAAUACCAUGCAGGCUCUGUCCGCACUGUCAGCACAGAGCCCGAUGCAGGGCUUGAACUCAGGAGCUGUGAGAUCAUGACCUGAGCAGAAAUCAAGAGCUGGAGGCUUAACAAUCUGAGCCCCCCAGGCACCCCACAUCCUGCUUUUUAUACUCCCUACAGUCACUUGAUAGUUUCCCCUGCUUCUCCCCCCCCCCAAUCCACAGCUUCCCACCCUCACCCCUAGAGCUGCUUGUUAAAUUGAAGCAGUCCUUCUGUAGAGGCUGAGGUGUUCACGACAAUACCAGAUGAUACUCCUACAGGCAGAGAGGGAGCUAGUCAGCAAUUUAUCAGACUUUAUUAAGGAUACUUGAGAUUCCUCAAUUAAGUGUGAUAUAGGAGAGUAACGAUGUAGAAAAGGAAGAUUUAAAACUGGCAAUCAUAUAUUAUUGCUCCCAGGGUCCACUGGUCACCCUUUCCUUUGGAAUUCCCUGCUGGCCCUUUGUCUCCAGAGCCCCAUAAUAUUGCUGCUUUGUUGAAGCUAGAUUUUCUCUUUUCUUCAGAAAGCUCAUGAUUAUACCCUGUCACUGAGAUAAGAAUGAUUCAGUACGGUAUACCAGUUGUUAAAAUAGUGAGAUCCUUCCGUACGGAGUUGAUACUUCUGUAUUUCCGGAUAUUUGCUGCCCUGACCUCCCCCUGAUUCCCUCCCACCCCUCCAGCCUUCUCCAAGAAGCCCCUGGGCCCCACUGUUAUCCAGCAACUGAUGCCUUACACAGAGUACUCAAGGGAAGCCUCUGGAACUCAGCUCCAGAAUCCAUGCUAUUAAGUAGGCGCCCUGUUUUAUCAGUUGUUGAAUAUCUUAAGAUAUUUAAGAUAUCCUAUAUGCUACCAAUGAAUACAGUAGUCACCCCUUAUCCACAGGGGAUAUCUUCCAAGACCCCCGGUGAUGCCUAAAACUGCAAAGGCCUAUAUACAUACACACACUCUAUGUUUUUUCCUAUACAUACAUACCUUGGAUAAAGUUUAUAAAUUAGGCGCAGGAAGAGAUUAACAACAAUAAUAAUAAAAUAGAAUAACUAUAACAACAUACUAUAAUCCAAGCUAUGUGAAUGUGCUCUCUCUUAAAAUAUCUUACUGUACCUUACUCACCCUUCUUGUGAUGCUGUGAGAUGAUAAAAUGCUUAUGUGACGAGAUGAAGUGAGGUGAAUGACAUAGGCGUUGUGAUGUAGCAUUUAGGCUACUGUUGGUCUUCUGUCCAGAAGGACAUCAUCUGCCUCCAGACCACAGCUGACCAUGGGUAAUGGAAAGAGAGGAAAGCAAAACCACAGAUAAAAAGGGGACUACUGUAAUCAUUUAAUGAUAGAUGAACAGAAUUUUUACCUUUUCGGUCUAAAACAUUGAUACUACUCUUCAAGUUCAGGAUUUCCUCCAAAAUAAUGAGUGAUUAUAAGCCCAACAUUUAUGGGAAUAAAAAAUUGUCCAAAGGGGCUCUUCCAAGAAAAUAGACCAGGCUUUUCCCAAAGACAUUGGUGCUUCUACUCCAGAUGGUAGAAACUGAUGUUUUAAAAAAAUUAUUGUGUUUACCUAGUUACUUGUUGCCAUUUUAUACUUGUAUGCCUUGUCUGUCUAACAUAAAUUACAUAUUGUAUUACUCCAUCACUCCCAGCACAGUGCUGCCCAGACAGCAGUAGGUGUCUGAUAAAUACUUGCUGAACAAAAUUUUUACAUUUCCCCAGAAAAAUCCAUCAAGAGGACACUAACCACCUAAGUCAAAGGCAUUUGAAGACUAAACUGAUGCGGGUUUGGAAAUCUAUUUCACAAGGUCAGGAUGCAUCUGGCAUUGCUUGCAGGAAAGAAUGAAGCAGGACAUAUGUGCUGCCGUCUUGUAAACAAAUAUAAAUGUGAAUAUGACAAUCUGAACUUAAUGAGGAGGACAAAAGGCCCUGGCAAAGAGAUAGAUCUUCUCUGUUUCCCACGUACUUGCUAUGAUUCUUCUACAUCAAAGGAAUAAGGACAAACAAAAUAAAAAGGUUAUGGAAUUCUUUUUUUUUUUUUUUUUUUUUUAUUUAUUUUUGGGACAGAGAGAGACAGAGCAUGAACGGGGGAGGGGCAGAGAGAGAGGGAGACACAGAAUCGGAAACAGGCUCCAGGCUCUGAGCCAUCAGCCCAGAGCCCGACGCGGGGCUCGAACUCACGGACCGCGAGAUCGUGACCUGGCUGAAGUCGGACGCGUAACCGACUGCGCCACCCAGGCGCCCCGGUUAUGGAAUUCUUAACAUAUAUUCCAGUAAUUAAAUUGAAGGCCUUUCAAGAAGGAUCAAAGCCAAGUUUUACCCUUCAGAAUGAAUUCAACAGUGAAACUUAAAACACACACACACACACACACACACACACACGCACACACACAGAGCCUUCAAAAAACUAUGAAAUGCCUGAAUACCCAAAUACCCAUCAGUAGGAGAAUAAUUGCAUAAAUUUUAUACAUCUUUAGUAUGGGAUGCUAUGCAACUAUUAGAAUGAUGUGAUGCAUGUGUGUACUGAUACGGAAGGAAGUACAUAACUUAUGGUAGGUGAGAAAAAACAAACUGCUGAAUAAUACAGCAUCAAUGUGUUUUGAUGUAAGUUCUCAUAUAGUGGUAUGCUGGAGCUGACUUGUACUGGCUUCUGAAAGCCAACUGUUACAUUUUCAGGAAUUUGACAAGCUGAUUGUUAAGCAGUGGAUAGCUUAAAAGCAGCCACAAUGAGUGUAUUUGCACUAAAGAAAUCCAUACCUUACAAAGAAGGACUUUUUCACCUUUAAGAGAGCUGGUUUAUCAACACAUCACUGCUCAAAAAUAUGCAAAUAUAAGUUUGUAUAAGCUUAUCCAAUUAUCUGGAAUAAUAUCUACCAAAGUGAGUUGUUGAUUGAUAAUUACUGAUUUUGCAAUCUUAAAAAUUAAAAAAAACAAAACAGUAAUCUCACAAAAAAGUGAAUACUACCAUCCUGGUGUAAAUAAAACCCACUGAAAAGUCCAAAUAUAACAUCUUCUGGUGACUAAGCUCAAUAUUUUUAAAAAGUCUAAAACAGUUUAAUUAAUGAUAUUUUAAGGGCUAAGCAUGUAUUUGUUAAACUUAGUAUAUUUCAAGUCUGUUUAAUACUAAAGCUUAAAUCUCCUUAAAGGUUCAGAGCCACUUCAUAUCGGUUUAAACUGGCUCAAAUAUUUAUAACAUUGAUAAUGGAAAAUGGAUACUAUCCAUAUAAAUAUAUCUUUAUGAGGAUAAUACUCUAUGAAGCACAUUCCUAGAUUUAGAUUUAGCAUCAAAGCAAAGACUGUAUCAAUCAUACUCCCAUCAAUAAUGUGUGUGGAGAGCACCACACCAGUAUCUGAUAUACGAAGAUUAAAAAAUAUUUUAACCAUCUGAUAAGCAAAAUGAAUCCACAAAAAAGUAAAUAAAAAGGAUUUCUGUAUUUCAGUUGACAGUUCUCUGAUUAUAAUUAGUUUAGCUUUAAAAAAUGUAUUGAUCAACUAUUUGUAUUUUCUGUGAACAAUCUAGUUACCUAGUCAUAGUCUUUGAUAAUUUUUAAUUGGAUUACUUUUUUAUUGUUAAUUAAUUGUUGGAGUUCUUUAAAUAUCAUGUUAAUUAACUUAUUAUCUGACAAGAGUGUUACAAUUUUUAAAAAGGUGGGGUGUGCCUGGGUGGCUCAGAGGUUAAGCAUCCAAUUUUUUGUUUUGGUUCAGGUCAUGAUCUUGCAGUUCUUAAGAUCAAGCCCGCUUGGGAUUCUCUCUCUCCCUCUCUAUCUGCCUCUCCCUGACUUGCAUGCACACACUCUCUCUCUCUAAAAAUAAAUAAAUAAACAUUGAAAAAAAGAAUGUGACCAACACUUUUUAAACAUCAAUUUCUUGCCUUUUAAAUGGCUGGUGUUAUUUUAUAGUUUCUUUUUUUUGUAUUCAGAUAUUUCAGUCUUUUCCCCUAUGACUUCUGGAUUUGGGAUUAUGCUUAAGAGGGCCCUUCCUACCCUAAAAUUAAAAAAGAAAAAGAAAAAAAACACCUACUUUGCUCUACUUUUUGUACACAUUGCGUGUGUGUGUAUGUGUAUGUGUGUGUGUGAGUGUGACUUAGGAAUUUCAUCCAUCUGGAAGUUAUUUUAGUGACUAUGUAGAGUAGAAAUUAAUUGAACUAAUGUAUCAUUACAAAUCCUUACUCACUGAUUUUUAAAUUCCACAUUUAUUCUGAUAUAUAUAUACAUUUCACAUGGAUUCCUGAAUUUUAGUAUUUUAUUGAGGAAAACUUCAGAGUAGUUAUAAUUCAUUUUUGCAUGAGAAUAAACUAAGCCCUUCAAGUGAUGUUUAACUACUAUUCUAUAAAUACUAUACAGCUAGAACAGAGAAUAUUUGAUCAUUUCUGCUAUAUAAAAUUACUUGGCAGUAUAGGUAUUGAGAGGUCUCAUUUGAUAAUAUAAAUCUUUCUAGAAUUGUCUUCAGUGCUUGAUGCUGAAGCAAACUGUCCAUAAAAUGUGCAUCUGGUUUAAUGUAAGUCUUUAAGCCCAUUUUUGAGGUUUAAUCUACAUUAUGCUAUUAAAAAACUAUUAUGAAAAAGAAGGUUUUCAGUGUAACAUUUCAAAGCCCAAUGCACAGUUAAAAUAAAACCAUGCCUUUCUUUCUUUUCUUUCUUUCUUUCAUUCUUUCUUUCUUUUCUUUUCUUUUCUUUUCUUUUCUUUUCUUUUGUUUUUGUUUUUUUUUUUUUUUGUAGCAAAAUCUUGCCUGUGACAGUGUGUUUGCCAACAUGGCCCCCAAAAAGAAGACUGUCAAAAAGAACAAAGGAGAUAUCAAUGAGAUGACCAUAAUCGUAGAAGAUAGCCCCCUAAACAAAUUAAAUGCUUUGAAUGGGCUCCUAGAGGGAGGCAAUGGCCUUAACUGCAUUUCUUCUGAACUAACAGAUGCUUCUUAUGGCCCCAAUCUCUUGGAAGGCUUAAGUAGAAUGAGGCAGGAGAACUUCCUUUGCGACUUAGUCAUUGGCACCAAAACCAAAUCUUUUGAUGUUCACAAGUCAGUGAUGGCUUCAUGCAGUGAAUACUUUUACAACAUCCUAAAAAAAGACCCAUCUACCCAAAGGGUGGAUCUCAAUGAUAUCUCACCACUAGGCCUGGCUACUGUCAUCGCAUAUGCCUACACCGGAAAGCUGACUCUCUCCUUGUACACGAUAGGAAGCAUUAUUUCUGCUGCUGUUUAUCUUCAGAUCCACACCCUUGUAAAGAUGUGCAGUGAUUUUCUGAUACGGGAGAUGAGUGUUGAGAAUUGCAUGUACAUUGCUAACAUUGCUGAAACAUACUCUUUGAAAAAUGCAAAAGCAGCAACCCAAAAAUUUAUCCGGGAUAACUUCCUUGAAUUUGCAGAAUCAGAUCAGUUUUUGAAACUUACCUUUGAGCAAAUUAAUGAACUUCUCAUAGAUGAUGACUUACAGUUGCCUUCUGAAAUAGUAGCAUUCCAGAUUGCAAUGAAGUGGUUAGAAUUUGACCAAAAGAGAGUGAGGUAUGCUGCAGAUCUUUUGAGCAAUAUUCGCUUUGGUACCAUCUCUGCACAAGACCUAGUCAACUAUGUUCAGUCUGUACCAAGAAUGAUGCAAGAUGCUGACUGCCACAAACUUCUCGUAGAUGCUAUGAACUACCACUUACUUCCAUAUCAUCAAAACACAUUGCAGUCUAGGCGCACGAGAAUCCGUGGGGGCUGUCGAGUCCUUGUCACUGUUGGGGGACGUCCAGGCCUCACUGAGAAGUCCCUUAGUAGAGACAUCUUGUACAGAGACCCUGAAAAUGGAUGGAGCAAGCUUACAGAAAUGCCAGCCAAGAGUUUUAAUCAGUGUGUGGCUGUGAUGGAUGGAUUUCUUUAUGUGGCCGGUGGCGAAGACCAGAAUGAUGCAAGAAAUCAAGCCAAGCACGCAGUCAGCAAUUUCUGCAGGUAUUUGAUCUUUUAUUAGAAACUCAAAUGGUUUAACAUAAGACAGUUUCCCUGAGAGAAGUAAAUUAGUCAUUUCUGUUAGUUCAUUGGCUCAGUAAAUCAAUAACAAUAAUCCCACAUUACGUGUACACAACAGUUCACAUUACAUAAAGUACAUGCAUAUAUAAAUAGUGCACUCCAGAUUUCUGAAUAAGCCUAGGAAAUGAGCUGGGAAGAUGUGGUUAUUCUGAUUAUACACGUGAGAAAUCUGAUACCCAGAGAAGUUAUACCACUAGUAAGUAGUAAUUCACAUUUUCUCGUUUAUAGUAUGGCACCCUUCCCAAUACAUUGUCUUUCUGAAAACAAACUAGGUACAAAUGUAGUUUUUAACACUAGAUGGUAAGAAAGAUCACAAUAAUACAAAAUUUAUUUUAAGUGACUGUCACUGAUGACUGUCAGAUUUAUAAUUGGCAGAUACAAUGAGAUCAUUAAACACGUGACAGGUAAUUAAUUUUAAACAUUUAUUUGAGGACUGAAUACCUUAGAAAAUAUCUACAUUUUUGAUGCAUGUAGAAACAGUAAAAGUAUAAUACAGCCUUCAGAAAAUGGAACUCAAAUGCCAUGUUAUUUUUGUAUAUUUAUAAUAACAACUUUCAUAUAUUUGAAAUGUCAGAAAGUCAUGCUUCUAUCAUGGUACAAGUACAAAGUCAAACAACUAAUGAGCAAGAUCUGAAAAUUUAUACAGCAUAUCAUGAAAAAAAUUCUUUAUUAUUUCAUUAUAAGUCUAUUUAAAUGAAUCCAAACAAUUAACUGAUUUUUGUCCGUUAUAAGAGUGGUUAAGCUUUGAUUUGGAGGUUAAAUGUGACAAAAAUGAAGGAACAUCAAACUAAUGGAAAGAAUCUGUGUUUACAAUACUUUGGAACUAUGUAGACAGUUGAAACAGGUUUUCUAUGACUGCUUAUUUUCCUCCUGCUGAUAACUCUUAUUAGGAUUCUAGCCACUGCUUUUGCAGUAUUGAUUUCAAUGCUUUGUGGCAUAAUAACUGUAAUAUCAAACACUGAAAAAAUAUACCUCUAACCUAAAAAAUCUUCCCUGCGCAGAGGUGCUAGAAAAUAGAAAGGUAUCAAAAAUUAGGCAUCUGUUGAUGUUUUUGGAUAUGAGUUCCAUUGAUCUCAUUCUAAACAGAUGAUAGAAGACUUGGUUGAGUGACUUAGCUUUACUGUUGCAAUGGCCAGGACAGGUGUGUAAAUGAGAAGGUAUUGGUGAGAGAUGGAGAAAUCCAACUAGCCAACUCCUAUCUUAAGCAGUGAGAAUGAGCGAGGGAUGGCUGGUGUCUGUAGAUAUGUGGAAUUGACGUCAAUGUGGCAGUGUUCCCUUUCUGCUUGCCACAAAUACCCAGUUCGCACGGCCUCCCCUACAUGCAUUAAUCUUCCCCAUGAUGGAUAUUUGAGUAUGGAGGAAGAGGGACUAGAAGGUUGGGCUCUGUGGGGACUUCUCCAAGUGACAGCGAGUUUUAUAAACGGGAGGAGGAGGAGUCACCAAUGCCUACAUUGCCUUUUCCAAGUGUCACGCUCUUUUACUGGCUGACACAGAAACACCAGCCUCCAGGUGAGGGGCUGCGCUCUGUUGGUAGGGAAGCCUCCUUGCAGGAAGUGUCAACAUUUCCAUUUGUGGACUCAGGUGGGUUCUCCAGCUGCCGCCAACAAGGCUGUCACACUUCCUCUGCCAUUUUCAGAUAUGAUCCCCGCUUCAACACCUGGAUACACCUGGCCAGCAUGAACCAGAAGCGCACGCACUUCAGCCUGAGCGUGUUCAACGGGCUCCUUUACGCCGUGGGCGGCCGCAAUACCGAAGGCAGUCUGGCCUCGCUGGAAUGCUACGUGCCCUCCACCAAUCAGUGGCAGCCGAAGACGCCCCUGGAGGUGGCGCGCUGCUGCCACGCCAGCGCGGUCACCGACGGC